rnacentral:tRNA from 1 species
GGGGGUGUGGCUAAAUGGUACAGCACUUGCCUAGCAUACAAGGAGGCCCUGGGUUCAAUCCCCAGCACUGCCG